AUCCACCUGACUGGUCCUAAAUAGGACGAAAUGCGCGUCAAACUGGAU
rnacentral:hammerhead_ribozyme from 1 species